UACGUAGGGUGCGAGCGUUAAUCGGAAUUACUGGGCGUAAAGCGUGCGCAGGCGGUUUUUGUAAGCCAGAUGUGAAAUCCCCGGGCUUAACCUGGGAAUGGCAUUGGUGACUGUACGGCUAGAGUGUGUCAGAGGGGGGUAGAAUUCCACGUGUAGCAGUGAAAUGCGUAGAGAUGAUGGAGGAACACCGAUGGCGAAGGCAGCCCCCUGGGUCAACACUGACGCUCGAUGCACGAAAGCGUGGGGAGCAAACAGG
rnacentral:rRNA from 1 species